UACGAAGGGGGCUAGCGUUGUUCGGAAUUACUGGGCGUAAAGGGCGCGUAGGCGGCUCUUCAAGUUAGGCGUGAAAGCCCCGGGCUCAACCUGGGAAUUGCGCUUGAUACUGUAGGGCUUGAGUACGGGAGAGGAGAGUGGAAUUCCCAGUGUAGAGGUGAAAUUCGUAGAUAUUGGGAAGAACACCAGUGGCGAAGGCGGCUCUCUGGACCGAAACUGACGCUGAGGCGCGAAAGCGUGGGGAGCAAACAGG
rnacentral:rRNA from 1 species